rnacentral:misc_RNA from 1 species
UCCGGUUUGUCACCGGCAGUCACGCUAGAGUGCCCGGCAUAACCCGUUGGCAACUAACAUCGAGGGUUGCGCUCGUUGCGGGACUUAACCCAACAUCUCACGACACGAGCUGACGACAGCCAUGCACCACCUGUCACCGUGCUCCUUGCGGCACUCCGGUGUUUCCACCAGAUUCACGGGAUGUCAAACCUUGGUAAGGUUCUUCGCGUUGCAUCGAAUUAAACCACAUGCUCCACCGCUUGUGCGGGCCCCCGUCAAUUCCUUUGAGUUUCAGUCUUGCGACCGUACUCCCCAGGCGGGAUACUUAACGCGUUAGCUUCGGCACCAGGGGGGUUGAUACCCCUGACACCUAGUAUCCAUCGUUUACGGCUCGGACUAC